CUUUUUCAUCUGUUAUAGAAAAUUUGAUUUGAACGUCGGAGGAUCUCCGUCCGAGCCACUCCUGACGGGUUCUUUUCUUGCAGAUUCAAUCACCGUCGACCCAUCAGCCGUCACCUCGCUCCAGGAUCUCCGGCCCGGGAUGAGUUCCAGCCACAACAUUUACAAUGGUAGGCUUUAAAAGGAUCAUGAUUUAACUACUUCAUGUUUGCCUUUUGCUUUGUCCGAUCAAGUUAUCAUAAUCAGGCUUUCACAUGUCCAACGAUCUCAUGACUCAUUUGCAUUCCUGCACAAACUCAUGUAUAAGCGGAUGGUAAUUUUCUAGCUUCUGCUACCAAGGAACAGAGAAUAUUACCAUUGCUACAUCUUUUGUUUUGUUUUGCAUUUUUUUUAAAAAAGAAAUUUGAUGA
rnacentral:lncRNA from 1 species